UACGUAGGGGGCAAGCGUUGUCCGGAAUCAUUGGGCGUAAAGAGCGUGUAGGCGGCUCGGUAAGUCCGCUGUGAAAGUCCAGGGCUCAACCCUGGAAUGCCGGUGGAAACUGUCGAGCUAGAGUCCAGAAGAGGCGAGUGGAAUUCCUGGUGUAGCGGUGAAAUGCGCAGAUAUCAGGAGGAACACCAAUGGCGAAGGCAGCUCGCUGGGACGGUACUGACGCUGAGACGCGAAAGCGUGGGGGAGCAAACAGG
rnacentral:rRNA from 1 species